GUGGUAUCGUGUGCACGGUUGACUUUGAGCAGCGUAAAAAUUUCCUCACGGCCGUUUGUGCUGAACACUUGAACACACAGUAUAUCAAUCUAGAUUUCGCAGAAGAGGUACACUUUGAAAUUUAAUUUAGUGCAUAGCCGCAAGUAUAAAUAGAAUGUUUUGAACUCGAUUCUGCCGUCCGAAUCAGAAAAUCAUCCACAAUGAAUUUCAGUGCUCCUCCAAUCUUAUGCAUUUUUCUGGUAUUAUGCGUUGUUUGCACCGCUUUUGGUGCUCUCUUUGAAGUCGAUUCGGAAACGCUCUCUCACAUAAUUGAGCGUCGCGGCCGUCCACUGCCCCCCUGUUUUGGAUGCCAAUGCUGGAGCCAUGCUAACGGUCAGUGUCCGAAAUGCAAUCCUGGAUGUUGUCCUGGUUGCUAACAACACGAUAAGUCAAAAACCUUAUUUUUCAAUUUCAUGACUGCGAUGUUUCGUUAUCUCUACGUCUCGCACCGUGACAAGAAGAGUCUCCUCCGCGCCCAGUCCUACCACCAAGAUGAAACCCAUAAAUGUCGUAUCUUUCAUCUUAAGGUUAAUCGCAGCCGCUGGGUUAAUUCCAUUAAAUGCCGCCAAACCAACUAUCGGUUUUCCGCCCUUAACAGCCGGGAACGGGCCGCGAUCCCGUUUACACAAAAUGCGUUCAAUCUUCCAGGAAAAUGACCUUUUCAACAAGGUUUACAUCUGUUACCGAUUGUAGCCUAUCUAGGCAAUGGUGAAUUGUAUCGCUUUCAAAAGAAAGCAUUGAAAAUAUAUUUUUAAUUUAAAAAAAGAUGUUAUUGAUUUUUUUUCUUUUUUAAAAAAAAUUCUAGCUCCAAAAUAUGUUGUUUGAAUUGAACAGAGCGUUAUGUGAGUAUUGCUCUUUUACCGACAGAUAAUUUUUUGAAGGUGU
rnacentral:lncRNA from 1 species